rnacentral:rRNA from 1 species
UUUUCCUACGGGGGGCAGCAGUGAGGAAUAUUGGUCAAUGGACGAGAGUCUGAACCAGCCAAGUCGCGUGAGGGAAGAAGGCCCUGCGGGUCGCAGACCUCUUUGGACGGGGAGCAAGGCCGCCGACGUGUCGGCGGAAGGAGAGUACCCGUAGAACAAGCAUCGGCUAACUCCGUGCCAGCAGCCGCGGUAAUACGGAGGAUGCGAGCGUUAUCCGGAUUUAUUGGGUUUAAAGGGUGCGUAGGCGGGCUUUUAAGUCAGCGGUAAAAAUUCGGGGCUCAACCCCGUCCG